AUUGAACGCUGGCGGCAGGCCUAACACAUGCAAGUCGAACGAGUGGCGGACGGGUGAGUAAUGUCUGGGAAACUGCCUGAUGGAGGGGGAUAACUACUGGAAACGGUAGCUAAUACCGCAUACCAUCGGAUGUGCCCAGAUGGGAUUAGCUAGUAGGUGGGGUAAAGGCUCACCUAGGCGACGAUCCCUAGCUGGUCUGAGAGGAGGACCGGCCACACGGGAACUGAGACACGGUCCAGACUCCGACGGGAGGAAGCAGUGGGGAAUAUUGCGCAAUGGGCGCAAGCCUGACACAGCAAUGCCGCGUGAGUGAAGAAGGCCUUCGGGUUGUAAAUUUCUUUCAGCGGGGAGGCGUUACCUGAAGAAGAAGCACCGGCUAACUCCGUGCCAGCAGCCGCGGUAAUAC
rnacentral:rRNA from 1 species